CACACAUUAUUGUCACGUUGUUAUUUGCCCUUAACGUAUACGUUAUUUUUUUCUGUUUUUUGAGAAAAAAAAGAAGAAGAUUAUCCAUUCAUUGAAUGUUUUUCAUCACUUUACAUUCAUCAUGGUUCGUUCUCUUUCUUUCAUUCACAAUCUAUCUUUGUAUAUCUAAUAAUAAUCUACUGACAAACUGAUUACCUGGUGGUCGUCAAGAUCACAAACAUACCAACAAACAACCCGAUCUUCAAUAAUAAUAAUAAUAAUAAAACAACGACGACUACGACGACAACGAAAACGACUCGUAUGGUCACAAAAUAGUCGUGUCAUUUUUUUCUGUUUAUUUUUGUAUUAUGUAAAUACAUGAAAUGGGUAAAAAAAAGAUUCAUAAUUAUAAAAACGUCAUGAUGAAUAGGAUGAUGAUAAUAAUAAAACAAAUAUGAAAAUAUAAACAAGAAGAAAAAAUUUACAACAACAAUGUGCAAUCUUUAAAGAAAUCCAAUCUUGUCAUUAUCAAUCAUCAUAACUUAUCAAAUUGUUUCCAAUUGAAAUUAUCUUUUUUUAUUGUUAACGAUGAGAAGCUACCAAUUGUAUUAUCAUCAUCAUCAACAACAAUGAUUUGUACACCAGAUAUACAGAUAUUAUUGAUAUAUAAAGCAAUAUAUCUGUUUAAUUAAAUUUUUAUAAUAGAGGUCAUUCAUUCAUUCAAAUAGUCAAACAAAAAUACGCCUGAU